CGGGGCGUGGCUCAGCCUGGUAGAGCACCUGCUUCGGGAGCAGGGGGUCGGAGGUUCAAAUCCUCUCGCCCCGACCA
rnacentral:tRNA from 1 species